UCUACGGGACGCAGCAGUCGGGAAUAUUGCACAAUGGAGGAAACUCUGAUGCAGUGACGCCGCGUAUAGGACGAAGGUCUUCGGAUUGUAAACUAUUGUCGUUAGGGAAGAUACAAGACAGUACCUAAGGAGGAAGCUCUGGCUAACUACGUGCCAGCAGCCGCGGUAAUA
rnacentral:rRNA from 1 species